rnacentral:rRNA from 1 species
UACGGGGGGGGCAAGCGUUGUUCGGAAUUACUGGGCGUAAAGGGCUCGUAGGUGGCCAACUAAGUCAGACGUGAAAUCCCGAGGCUCAACCUCGGAACUGCCUUUGAUACUGGGGAUCUCGAGUCCGGGAGAGGUGAGUGGAACUGCGAGUGUAGAGGUGAAAUUCGUAGAUAUUCGCAAGAACACCAGUGGCGAAGGCGGCUCACUGGCUCGGUACUGACGCUGAGGUGCGAAAGCGUGGGGAGCAAACAGG